UCUCCGUUGGUGAACCAGCGGAGGGAUCAUUAUCGAGUUUAUAACUCCCAAACCCUAUGUGCACUUACCACUUGUUGCUUCGGCGCGCGCUUCGGUGCCGCCGAGGACACUUAAACUCUUUGUUUUUAUAAGCAUUUCUGAGUGGCCGAAAGGCAAAAUACAAAUGAAUCAAAACUUUCAACAACGGAUCUCUUGGUUCUG
rnacentral:misc_RNA from 1 species